rnacentral:rRNA from 1 species
CCUACGGGUGGCAGCAGUGGGGAAUAUUGCACAAUGGGGGAAACCCUGAUGCAGCGACGCCGCGUGAGUGAAGAAGUAUCUCGGUACGUAAAGCUCUAUCAGCAUGGAAGAAAAUGACGGUACCUGACUAAGAAGCCCCGGCUAACUACGUGCCAGCAGCCGCGGUAAUACGGAGGAUGCGAGCGUUAUCCGGAUUUAUUGGUGUUAAAGGGGGCGUAGGCGGAAUGCCAAGCCAGCGGUAAAAGCGCGGGGCUCAACCUCGCUCCGCCGUUGAAACUGGCGUUCUUGAGUGGGCGAGGAGUAUGCGGAAUGCGUGGUGUAGCGGUGAAAUGCAUAGAUAUCACGCAGAACUCCGAUUGCGAAGGCAGCAUACCGGCGCCCAACUGACGCUGAAGCACGAAAGCGUGGGUAUCGAACUGGAUUAGAUACCCCGGUAGUC